rnacentral:rRNA from 1 species
GACGAACGCUGGCGGCGUGCCUAAUACAUGCAAGUUGAGCGCUGAAGGUUGGUACUUGUACCAACUGGAUGAGCAGCGAACGGGUGAGUAACGCGUGGGUAAUCUGCCUUUGAGCGGGGGACAACAUUUGGAAACGAAUGCUAAUACCGCAUAAAAACUUUAAACACAAGUUUUAAGUUUGAAAGAUGCAAUUGCAUCACUCAAAGAUGAUCCCGCGUUGUAUUAGCUAGUUGGUGAGGUAAAGGCUCACCAAGGCGAUGAUACAUAGCCGACCUGAGAGGGUGAUCGGCCACAUUGGGACUGAGACACGGCCCAAACUCCUACGGGAGGCAGCAGGAGGGAAUCUUCGGCAAUGGACGAAAGUCUGACCGAGCAACGCCGCGUGAGUGAAGAAGGUUUUCGGAUCGUAAAACUCUGUUGGUAGAGAAGAACGUUGGUGAGAGUGGAAAGCUCAUCAAGUGACGGUAACUACCCAGAAAGGGACGGCUAACUACGUG